UACGGGGGGGGCAAGCGUUGUUCGGAAUUACUGGGCGUAAAGGGCUCGUAGGCGGCCAACUAAGUCAGACGUGAAAUCCCUCGGCUUAACCGGGGAACUGCAUCUGAUACUGGAUGGCUUGAGUUCGGGAGAGGGAUGCGGAAUUCCAGGUGUAGCGGUGAAAUGCGUAGAUAUCUGGAGGAACACCGGUGGCGAAGGCAGCAUCCUGGACCGGCACUGACGCUGAGGAGCGAAAGCCAGGGGAGCAAACGGG
rnacentral:rRNA from 1 species